GUGAUAAUAUCGUCGCCGUUCUCGCUCGAAUCGCGGACGAGAUCCAAUGGCCGUUAGCCAAGGACGGGGCCGCUGUAAAACUAGACGAUUCGCAUUACUUUUUCUCCCUCCGGUUGCCCAAGGAGCAUCAGGGUUCGGAUUCGAGCAGUGAUGAGGAGGACAAGAAGAGUAGAGACAAAAACAUUAGUGAUUCGAAUGAUAUAUUGAAUUAUGGUUUGACCAUUGCAUCCAAAGGGCA
rnacentral:misc_RNA from 1 species